AGGGAUGUAGCGCAGCUUGGUACCGCGUUUGUUUUGGGUACAAAAUGACACGGGUUCAAACCCUGUCAUCCCUA
rfam:Gossypium raimondii Chr08_contig_327, whole genome shotgun sequence.